GGACAAUUAGCUCAGCUGGUUAGAGCGCCUCGUUUACACCGAGGAGGUCGUAGGUUCGAUCCCUACAUUGUCCA
rnacentral:tRNA from 1 species